ACUCCUCCCCAUCCUCUCCCUCUGUCCCUCCGUCCCUCUGACCCUGCACUGUCCCGGCACCAUGGGACCCACCUCAGGUCCCAGCCUGCUGCUCCUGCUACUAACCCACCUCCCCCUGGCUCUGGGGAGUCCCAUGUACUCUAUCAUCACCCCCAACAUCUUGCGGCUGGAGAGCGAGGAGACCGUGGUGCUGGAGGCCCACGACGCGCAAGGGGAUGUUCCAGUCACUGUUAUUGUCCACGACUUCCCAGGCAAAAAACUAGUGCUGUCCAGUGAGAAGACCGUGCUGACCCCUGCCACCAACCACAUGGGCAACGUCACCUUCAUGAUCCCAGCCAACAGGGAGUUCAAGUCAGAAAAGGGGCGCAACAAGUUCGUGACCGUGCAGGCCACCUUCGGGGCCCAAGUGGUGGAGAAGGUGGUGCUGGUCAGCCUUCAGAGUGGGUACCUCUUCAUCCAGACAGACAAGACCAUCUACACCCCUGGCUCCACAGUUCUCUAUCGGAUCUUCACCGUCAACCACAAGCUGCUACCCGUGGGCCGGACGGUCAUGGUCAACAUUGAGGUACCAGCCAGAGGGGGCCCCAGGGGCAGCAGGGGCACAGGCUUAGGAGAGGCAAAGAGA
rnacentral:sRNA from 1 species